rnacentral:rRNA from 1 species
GAGUUUGAUCGUGGCUCAGGACGAACGCUGGCGGCGUGCUUAACACAUGCAAGUCGAGCGAGGCCCUUCCUUCGGGAAGGUGCCCUAGCGGCGAACGGGUGAGUAACACGUGGGCAACCUGCCCCUAGCACUGGGAUAACUCCGGGAAACCGGGGCUAAUACCGGAUAUGACCUUGGAGGGCAUCCUCUUUGGUGUAAAGGAUUCUGGCUAGGGAUGGGCCCGCGGCCUAUCAGCUUGUUGGUGGGGUAACGGCCUACCAAGGCGACGACGGGUAGCCGGCCUGAGAGGGCGACCGGCCACACUGGGACUGAGACACGGCCCAGACUCCUACGGGAGGCAGCAGUGGGGAAUAUUGCACAAUGGGCGAAAGCCUGAUGCAGCGACGCCGCGUGAGGGAUGACUGCCUUCGGGUUGUAAACCUCUUCAGCAGGGGCGAAGCGAAAGUGACGGUACCUGCAGAAGAAGCACCGGCCAACUACGUGCCAGCCGCCGCAGU